rnacentral:rRNA from 1 species
UACGUAGGGGGCUAGCGUUGUCCGGAUUUAUUGGGCGUAAAGAGCGUGUAGGCGGCCAGGUAGGUCUGCUGUGAAAACUCGAGGCUCAACCUCGAGACGUCGGCGGAAACCAUCUGGCUAGAGUCCGGAAGAGGAGAGUGGAAUUCCUGGUGUAGCGGUGAAAUGCGUAGAUAUCUGGAGGAACACCGGUGGCGAAGGCGGCAUCCUGGACCAACACUGACACUGAGGAGCGAAAGCCAGGGGAGCAAACGGG